rnacentral:rRNA from 1 species
UAAGACGGAGGGGGCUAGCGUUGUCCGGAAUUACUGGGCGUAAAGCGCUCGUAGGCGGUCGUCUACGGCGGUGGUGAAAGCUCCCGGCUCAACUGGGAGAGGCCCGCCGCAACGGGACGACUCGAGGGUGGUAGAGGCAAAUGGAAUUCCUGGUGUAGCGGUGAAAUGCGUAGAGAUCAGGAGGAACACCCGUGGCGAAGGCGGUUUGCUGGGCCACACCUGACGCUGAGGAGCGAAAGCCAGGGGAGUGAACGGG